CGCAACGCGAAGAACCUUACCAAGGCUUGACAUAUACCGGAAAGCAUUAGAGAUAGUGCCCCCCUUGUGGUCGGUAUACAGGUGGUGCAUGGCUGUCGUCAGCUCGUGUCGUGAGAUGUUGGGUUAAGUCCCGCAACGAGCGCAACCCUUGUCCUGUGUUGCCAGCAUGCCCUUCGGGGUGAUGGGGACUCACAGGAGACCGCCGGGGUCAACUCGGAGGAAGGUGGGGACGACGUCAAGUCAUCAUGCCCCUUAUGUCUUGGGCUGCACACGUGCUACAAUGGCCGGUACAAUGAGCUGCGAUACCGUGAGGUGGAGCGAAUCUCAAAAAGCCGGUCUCAGUUCGGAUUGGGGUCUGCAACUCGACCCCAUGAAGUCGGAGUCGCUAGUUUCUUUUUUAGU
rnacentral:rRNA from 1 species